rnacentral:rRNA from 1 species
GACGAACGCUGGCGGCGUGCUUAACACAUGCAAGUCGAACGGAAAGGCCCUGCUUUUGUGGGGUGCUCGAGUGGCGAACGGGUGAGUAACACGUGAGUAACCUGCCCUUGACUUUGGGAUAACUUCAGGAAACUGGGGCUAAUACCGGAUAGGAGCUCCUGCUGCAUGGUGGGGGUUGGAAAGUUUCGGCGGUUGGGGAUGGACUCGCGGCUUAUCAGCUUGUUGGUGGGGUAGUGGCUUACCAAGGCUUUGACGGGUAGCCGGCCUGAGAGGGUGAACGGCCACAUGGGGACUGAGAUACGGCGCAGAAUCCUACGGGAGGCAGCAGUGGGGAAUAUUGCACAAUGGGCGGAAGCCUGAUGCAGCAACGCCGCGUGCGGGAUGACGGCCUUCGGGUUGUAAACCGCUUUCGCCUGUGACGAAGAGUGAGUGACGGUAAUGGGUAAAGAAGCACCGGCUAACUACGUG